rnacentral:rRNA from 1 species
AUGGCGGAGGCGGAACCGGAAUCGGCGCCCGGAGGCGGAGAGGCCGGCGAGGACGCGAUGGACGCCACCGGUCCCGCGGCGGCGCCGGCGGAGGCGGAGGCCGCCGCCCCCGUCCCCGACGUUAACAUGAACCCUCUGAAGAGGCCAUCGGAGUCGUGUGCUCAAGGAGACGAAGCAGACGGGCAGAAGCGGCAGAAGACGGAGUCUCAAGUUUUCACACCCAGAAGAUACCAGCUCGAUGUCUUUGAGGUUGCCAAGGCGCGAAACACGAUUGCAAUGCUUGACACAGGAGCCGGGAAGACGAUGAUUGCUGUGAUGCUCAUGAAAGAGUUUGGGAAAAAGAUUGACAAAUCAAAUAACAAUGGGAAGAUCGUAUUCCUUGCACCAACAGUUCAGCUCGUCACACAGCAAUGUGAGGUGAUUAAAACCCACACAGAUUUUGAGGUGGAGCUGUAUUGCGGUGCCUCGGGGGUUGAUCACUGGACGCCUCAGAGAUGGAAAGAAAAAAUAUCGAAAUCUCAGGUCAUGAUGAUGAUACCAGAUGUGUUGCUAAGUGCUUUAGGCAAAGCUUUCUUGAGCUUGGACAUGGUUAGUCUUAUGAUAUUUGAUGAGUGCCAUCGUGCAACUGGCAAACACCCUUAUUCGAGAAUAAUGAAGGACUACUAUCACCAAUCUGACCACAAGCCAAAGGUGUUUGGUAUGACGGCCUCGCCUGUUAUAAGGAAAGGUGUCUCUUCUAAUCUGGAUUGUGAAGUUCAGUUCACUGAACUGGAAAAGCUUCUAAAUGCUAAGAUCUACACUGUGGCUGAUAGAGCAGAGAUAGAGCUUUGCGCUCCUUCUGCAAAAGAAGUGGACAGAUACUAUGACCCAAAAACAGUUUGUUUCAAGGAUUUGAGUGAAGAGUUGGGACUUUUGCAUUCUGAGUACGAUGCGUUAAUAACUACAUUGCAGAAUAAGCCUAACUGCCAGAAUAAAGAAUCCGAUGAAAUAGCUAAAGAAUCACGGAGGCGUCUAUCCAAUUCUUCAGCCAAAAUCCUGUAUUGCAUCGAUGAUAUUGGUCUUCUUUGUGCUAGUGAGGCCACCAAAAUCUACAUUGAAAGGGGUCAGAGAAAAGGUUGGCUGAAGAAAGCUUCUGAUGCCACAAAUAUUCAAAGUGUUGCAAAUAGCUCGUUCCUGCUUGCAGAAAUUUCAGUGCUUCAUCUGAAGUUCUUUGAGGAUAUGUCAUGUAUAAUUGACAAGCACCUCCAGCAAGGUAGCGAUGUGCUUCUAAAUUCUGAGAGUGGAUGUGUGGAAGCAAUUAAGACGGGUUAUAUUUCACCAAAGCUUUAUGAACUCAUCCAAAUCUUCCACUCUUUCAGCAACUGUGAUCAUGUCCGAUGCCUCAUUUUUGUGGAUCGAAAGAUCACUGCUAGAGCCAUGGAACGGACAAUGAAGAAAAUUGGACACCUCUCACAUUUUACAUUUUCUUCUCUUACUGGAGGGAGUUCUUCAGUGGACGCUCUGACCCCUAAAAUGCAAAAGGACACACUGGAUUCAUUUCGCUCUGGAAAGGUGAACUUACUAUUUACUACGGAUGUCGCAGAAGAGGGUAUUGAUGUCACAGACUGCUCGUGUGUAAUAAGAUUUGAUUUGCCAAAGACUACCCGUAGUUAUAUGCAGUCACGUGGACGAGCACGCCAGAAGGACUCUCAGUACAUACUAAUGAUUGAAAGGGAAAAUGUUAAACAAAAUAAUUUGAUAUCUGCCAUUUUGAGAAGCGAGAAGUCAAUGGUUGAGACUGCUUUGAACAGAGAUUCCGAGGAUCUACUCCCUGGUUUCUUCCCAGUUGAAGAAAAAAAUGAAUACCUUGUAGGCACAACCGGAGCAAAAGUAACUGCUGGUUCUAGCGUUAGUGUUAUCGUCCAAUACUGUGACAAGCUUCCAGGAGACAAGUACGACACCACAAAACCUUUGUUUGAGUUCACCAACCACGGUGAUGGUUUUGUGUGUACGUUAACACUACCAUCUAGUGACAUGUUGCCACCUUUGGUGGGUCCAAAAGCAAGAAACAAGAAGAAAGCAAAACAGCUUGUUUGUCUUGAUGCAUGUAAGCAGCUGCAUCAGCUAGGAGUACUUACUGACUCUCUUUGUCUAUCUGUUGAAGAGCCACCACUGGAAUCUGUGAACAAAACUGACGUUCUCACAUCUUUGGCUGGUGUAGGUACAACCAAACGAAAGGAGCUACAUGGUACAACUAGAGUAUGUGGGUUGUCUGGUACCUGGGCAUCAGAGAGAACUGCUGUUAAGCUUCAAGGCUACAGAAUGAAAUUUCUUUGUGACCAAGUUGGUCAGAAAUACUCCGAUUUUGUUCUGUUAAUUGAUAAAACUAUAGCACAUGAAGCUGCUAAUUUGGAUAUUGAUCUGUUUCUACAUGACAAGAUGGUGAAAGCUUCAGUCUCUCCUUGUGGCCUUUUUGAGUUGGAUGUUCAACAGAUGGAGCAAGCAAAGCUAUUUCAAGCACUUCUGUUCAAUGGUUUGUUUGGAAAGUUGUUCACUGGAUCAAAAUCAUCCGACGUUCCGCGGGAGUUUAUUCUCAAUAAAGAUGACACGUUUAUCUGGAAUAAUCCAAAUAUGUAUUUGAUUUUACCUAUGGAUCCUACUGUGGAGUCCCAUGAUAUUACAUGCAUCAACUGGAGAGUGAUUGAUGAAGCCGCAACAGCUGUUAAACUUUUGAGGAAGAUUUAUUCUGAAGAAAAAAUGAACAUACAGGGAAUACUUGAUUUCGACCAAAAUGAUGAAGAUCUAAUUCAUUUCGCCAACACUUCAUGUGAGACUCAUUUCCUUAGAAAUGUGGUAGUGCUGGCAGUCCACACAGGAAAGAUAUAUACUGCUCUUCAUGUUGCCGAUCUAUCUGCCAAUAGCACAUUUGAUGGUGUAUCAGAUGAAAAAGGAACAGAGUUCCGCACCUUUGCAGAAUACUUUGAGAAGAAGUAUGGCAUAGUUCUUCGUCAUCCCUCACAGCCACUACUAGUGCUGAAACCCAGUCAUAGGCCUCACAACAUUCUUUCCUCGAAGCUCAGAGAUGAAGGUAACGGUGAGAAGAAAAAGGGUGGCACAUCAGAUAUAACUAAGGCAAACAACCGUGUUCACAUGCCCCCAGAGUUGCUGAUUCCCCUUAAUUUUUCUGAUGACAUUUUAAGAACAUUUUAUUUGUUCCCAUCUUUGAUGCAUCGUAUAGAGGCAUUAAUGCUAGCCAGUCAACUAAAGAGUGAAAUUUCAUAUGACGAUUCUAAUGUAUCAAGCUUUCUGAUUCUAGAAGCUAUCACAACUCUUCGAUGCUCUGAAGACUUCUCAAUGGAGCGUCUGGAAUUAUUGGGAGAUUCUGUGUUGAAGUAUGUCGUUAGUUGUCACCUUUUCCUAAAAUUUCCUAACAUGGAUGAGGGGCAGUUAACAUCCAGUAGGGUUGAUAUAAUAUCUAAUGCUGCACUUUAUGGGUUUGGAAUUGAACACAAAAUACAGGGUUAUAUACGUGAUGCUGCAUUUGAUCCUCGUCGAUGGCUUGCACCAGGACAGCUCUCCAUUCAUCCUGUUCCUUGUAAUUGCCAAGUAAAUUCUGAGGUUGUCACUGAGGAUAUUAAUGUGAAAGUAGGCCAGCUGUGUGAUAAGGGACACAGAUGGAUGUGUUCCAAAACAAUUUCUGAUUGCGUCGAAGCUAUAAUCGGUGCAUAUUAUGUAGAAGGUGGCUUAAGAGCAGCUAUGGCUGUUCUCAAAUGGUUGGGAAUUAAUGUUGAAGUUGAGGAAGAAUUGAUUGGUCAGUUCUUGAGUGCAUCUGUGCAGACUUAUCUUCCAAAAAAUGAUGUAAUUGAAAAGGUUGAAGCAAAACUAGGCUAUGUAUUUUUGAUGAAAGGUCUUCUGCUAGAAGCUCUUACCCACCCAUCACUGCAGGAAUCAGCAGAAGGAUAUUCCUACGAGCGUCUGGAGUUCCUUGGUGAUGCUGUCUUGGAUAUUCUUUUAACACGACAUCUUUUCUCUAGUCAUAAAGACACCGAUGAGGGGGAGCUGACAGAUUUACGGUCUGCAUCAGUAAACAAUGAAAAUUUUGCACAACUCGCAGUGAAGCAUAAGUUAUAUCAGUUUCUCCAGCAUUCUUCUGGGAAAUUACCAGAAAAUAUUACUGAAUAUGUGGAUAGUUUAGAGAAUUCUUCCACGGACAAACUCAACCUUUUAUCAGAUGCGGCAUUAAGAGGGCCUAAGGUUCUGGGUGAUGUUGUAGAAAGUAUUGCGGGUGCAAUUCUUAUAGAUAGAAAACUUGAUUUGGAGGUAGUUUGGGGUAUUUUCAAACCUCUUCUUUCCCCUAUUGUUACACCUGAGAAGCUGGAGUUACCUCCCUUCAGAGAGCUUCUCGAAUGGUGCAACAAAAGUGGGUACUUUCUAGGAAUUAAGUGUACAGAUGGAAUUAAGCGUACAGAUGGAGACAAAAUAGAGGCUACUCUGGAUGUGCAACUCAAGGAGACGCUCCUUGUCAGGCAAGGUUGUGGCAAGAGCAAAAAGGAUGCUAAAGCACAUGCAGCUUCCAUGUUACUCAAGGACCUUGAGGAGGAAGGACUUAUAGUACCAAAGAAUGCAAGCAACACGCAACAGUUCCAGGAUCAUCGUAACAUUUUUGAUGCAAUGGAUAUACAACUUUCAACACCAACCAGGGGAAAGCGAUCAGCUGGAUCAAAGAUAGCUGCCAGUCUUGAUAAACCAGUGGACUGGCCGGUGAGAAUGAGCAAAGGAGGACCCCGUGCAGGACUGUAUGAGUUCUGCAAAAAGUUACAAUGGCCAGCUCCCAAUUUCGAUUGUGCGAAGGUAGAACAAAGCACGCCUACGCCUCAAGGUCAAGGGUUCACCUUCGCGUCAACCAUAAAACUGCACAUACCGAAUAGUGAUGUGAUCAGCCUCACAGGGGAUUGCUUUGCGGAUAAGAAGAGCGCGAUGGAUUCCGCCGCACUGCUCAUGCUCUAUGAGCUUCAGCAGCGAGGGAGAUUGCAAGUCCAGGAGAUUCGUCUUCCCUGA